ensembl:snoRNA SNORA63 Small nucleolar RNA SNORA63
UAGCUGAUAUAGGAUAUAGCUGUUAAGUGCCGUGUUGUCACUCCCCCUGCUCAAAAUAAAGUUGUUUCUUAACUAUACCUGUUUGCUAUACUCCUGUGACAGCAAGGGACACUUGGUCUCAUACAC